rnacentral:rRNA from 1 species
UACGGAGGAGGCAAGCGUUAUCCGGAAUUAUUGGGCGUAAAGCGUCCGUAGGUGGGUGAGGAAGUCUGCUGUUAAAGAGUAAGGCUUAACCUCAUAAGGGCAGUGGAAACUCUUCGUCUAGAGUGCGACAGGGGCAAGGGGAAUUCCUAGUGUAGCGGUGAAAUGCGUAGAGAUUAGGAAGAACACCGGUGGCGAAAGCGCCUUGCUGGGUCUGCACUGACACUGAGGGACGAAAGCUAGGGGAGCGAAAGGG